UACGUAGGGGGCUAGCGUUGUCCGGAAUCAUUGGGCGUAAAGAGCGUGUAGGCGGCUCGGUAAGUCCGCUCUGAAAGCCCGGGGCUCAACCCCGGGAGGCGGGCGGAUACUGUCGAGCUAGAGUCCGGAAGAGGCGAGUGGAAUUCCUGGUGUAGCGGUGAAAUGCGCAGAUAUCAGGAGGAACACCAAUAGCGAAGGCAGCUCGCUGGGACGGUACUGACGCUGAGACGCGAAAGCGUGGGGAGCAAACAGG
rnacentral:ncRNA from 2 species